rnacentral:lncRNA from 1 species
ACGCGUUCCAGCACGAUACGAUUGCAGCACGGUGUAUAUCGCGGCGACGUGCGUGAGCACAGGUGCACGAAGAAAGGAGCGGCACCAGAGGCGAAGGAAACGAGAGGACGCUGGCUAGAAGAAGAAGGGAAGAAAAGAAGAAAGCGCACUUGCGGUUGGACGAAGAGUAAUGAGUGGGUCGACCAUGGAAAUGGAUAAGUAGCAAGCUAACGUCUCGCUUCAGGAACGAUUUACGAGAGAACGAUUUUAUCGUGGAGAAAUCGCUGACAAUGUCUUUACAAAUCGUUUCAAGAAGGAACGACGGACGUGACAAGUGGAUAAAUAGCAGUUUGACGUCGAUUUCAAUAAUAUGGAACGACAGAUGCUUUUAACGAAGUAUAUAAAUAUUUGGUAUAAAGUAAAGUAAAAAUUGG